GGCAGGCCUAACACAUGCAAGUCGAACGGUAACAUUUCUAGCUUGCUAGAAGAUGACGAGUGGCGGACGGGUGAGUAAUGCUUGGGAACUUGCCUUUGCGAGGGGGAUAACAGUUGGAAACGACUGCUAAUACCGCAUAAUGUCUUCGGACCAAACGGGGCUCCGGCUCCGGCGCAGAGAGAGGCCCAAGUGAGAUUAGCUAGUUGGUGAGGUAAAGGCUUACCAAGGCAACGAUCUCUAGCUGUUCUGAGAGGAAGAUCAGCCACACUGGGACUGAGACACGGCCCAGACUCCUACGGGAGGCAGCAGUGGGGAAUAUUGCACAAUGGGGGAAACCCUGAUGCAGCCAUGCCGCGUGUGUGAAGAAGGCCUUCGGGUUGUAAAGCACUUUCAGUUGUGAGGAAAAGUUAGUAGUUAAUACCUGCUAGCCGUGACGUUAACAACAGAAGAAGCACCGGCUAACUCCGUGCCAGCAGCCGCGGUAAUACGGAGGGUGCGAGCGUUAAUCGGAAUUACUGGGCGUAAAGCGCACGCAGGCGGUUUGUUAAGCUAGAUGUGAAAGCCCCGGGCUCAACC
rnacentral:rRNA from 1 species